AAAUCUCAGCCUUUUGGCUAAGAUCAAGCACAGUAUCUGUUCUGACCAGUUUAAUAAAUGCAUUCACUUCUAGUAAAAUUAAAAGGGUAACAACAGAGAGUAAUCCUAUACACUUGUGAGAUUACUUCUAGAUUUCCA
rnacentral:snRNA from 1 species